UUCCAAUCUCAAGAUCCAGCAUUGAACAUGACAUGAGCUACCCCUUCUGUCAUCCUUUCACCUUAUGUUAUGCAAAUCCUAUUGGGCUGUUUUAAAAUAAAUUAAUUAGCAUAAUUUGUUCUAAAAUUAUCUGAUUGAUGACAUAUGAACUACCAUUAUAAUAACAUACUUUGAUGGCUCUAUGAAGUGUGAACACUAGAAUCUUGGUCAGCUAGCAUCCAAGAGGACCAAGACAACACCACAAAAAGGAUGAAGAGAGACAAAGCAGUAGAGUAAAGAAAUUUACAUCAAUAAAUCCAAUAAUAAAUCAUCAACAUGGCAAGAUCGCAACACAAACAUGAUUAGAACAACAUUAAGGACCAACCCAAAAACAAAAUUAAUAAAGAAAAAGCAAGCCUAUAAUGUCUUAAACAUUACAAGAACAAACAAAAUAACACCCACAUGAGAUCCUUUUCCAUUCAUAUAUAUAGAGAGUAACAAGAUCAAACAUGGGGUUUGUUGGUAAUAGUAUUCAUAACAACAUCAAUCAACGUUUCUUCAUGUUCUUGACCUUAAUCCAUCCUUUCUUGCAUGAUUCUCCCACGAUCUUGACUCCUUUCUUGAACAAAACCGUGAGCUCCUUGGCUCUCACCUUCACCUUGUUCUCAAAAUCACCCAUGUCUAGAGAUGGAGAAAGGGCGAGAAGGGGAGAGAAGAUAAUUAACACAAGAAAAGGAAUAACCUUUUAGUAGAGAAUCUAGAGGUAUAUAUGGACGAAGAGGAAGUUAGGGCAAGCUAAGAUUUGGGUGUCUCCUUUCUGUUAACGAGUAAAGAUAGUUGCUUUGCAAGCCUAGCACAGAGAGAGAGAUUCUAAGGAAAGAAGUGAUGGCUCUUCUUGGUUGGAGGCUACUUAAUGUUAAGGUAAUUACGUGGGAUCCAACGCAUUGAAGGACACGUGGCAAAGAUCAAGUGGGUUACAUGACUUUUUAGCUCCUGAUUGUCUCAUAUUAGACGUUGCGUGUUAUGGUCUUGGUCGAACUGGAGGGUUCGUUUUGUCAGGCAAUAGGCUUUAGUUUUGUCCGAGCUUCGUGUUUAAGACAGGUAAAUUUUAGUUACCAUUUCUCUGAAGAAUUGUGGUAAAUUUAGAUAUUUUCUAAAAAAACAGAAGCCUCC
rnacentral:lncRNA from 1 species